GACGAAGAACGCAGCGAAAUGCGAUAAGUAAUGUGAAUUGCAGAAUUCAGUGAAUCAUCGAAUCUUUGAACGCACAUUGCGCCCGCCAGUAUUCUGGCGGGCAUGCCUGUUCGAGCGUCAUUUCAACCAUCAAGCCCCAGGCUUGUGUUGGGGACCUGCGGCUGCCGCAGGCCCUGAAAACCAGUGGCGGGCUCGCUGUCACACCGGGCGUAGUAGAUUUUAUCUCGCUCAGGGCGUGCUGCGGGUUCCGGCCGUUAAAAAGCCUUUUUUACCCAAGGUUGACCUCGGAUCAGGUAGGAAGACCCGCUGAACUUAAGCAUAUCAAUAAGCGGAGGA
rnacentral:misc_RNA from 1 species